rnacentral:rRNA from 1 species
UACAGAGGGGGCGAGCGUUGUUCGGAAUUACUGGGCGUAAAGGGCGCGUAGGCGGCCUUCUAAGUCGAACGUGAAAUCCCCGGGCUCAACCCGGGAACUGCGUCCGAUACUGGGAGGCUUGAAUCCGGGAGAGGGAUGUGGAAUUCCAGGUGUAGCGGUGAAAUGCGCAGAUAUCAGGAGGAACACCGGUGGCGAAGGCGGGUUGCUGGGCUGACACUGACGCUGAGGCGCGAAAGCUAGGGGAGCGAACGGG